CCGUCAGUAUAUAUUUUUUUAACUUUUAUUUUAAGGCCUAUAAUCUGUAAAUUAAUUAUUACAGGAAGUAUGCAUGCAAUAAUAUAUAAAAUAGCUUGACAUAGAUACAUGAUAAAAGCAGCCACCCAAUGGUCUCUACACCACUUUCUCUUUAAUUGACGAGAGGGGUUAUCAGGACUUGAGUCAGUAUCUAGAGCACAGAUUAGUG